rnacentral:lncRNA from 1 species
UGACGCUAGAAAGAGACAAUUCUCAAGUCUGCUUUUUUUAAAAACCUAAAUCAUGUACUUGCCAAAUUUAGCAUUGAGAUGGUAGUGCCUGGGACAUAGAGCCUAAGCUCAGCUUAGGGGGACCAGAGACACCAUAAAGAAUAAAUACCUGACUACAGAGAGCUGGAUUUCUGGAGGAGAUGACAAUUAAUAUACAUAAAAUCAUGUCACAGAGCGCAACAAAUAUACGUGUCAGGAUAGCAAGCAGCCUACUUCUUGCCUCUUGCCAAAGAUGACACAUUAGAGGACAUCUCACCAAAA